rnacentral:rRNA from 1 species
GGCCCGCACGGCCUUCCCUGCAGGGACCUGUCAAGGACGCCGCUCCUCUUGCCCAAUGGGCAUCGGUAAAUCGAAGGUGGUAGCCAUCUCAAGGAACCCCCACCCUAACGGGUGGGGGUUUCAAGGAACGGGGGUUGCAAGGAACCCUCACCCGUAAGGGUGGGGGUUGCAAGGACCCGAUAGGGACCAUCUUUCGGCGCCGCACUGUACUAAACUAACUAAAGUGGGGGAUAGUGAGGGGAUAAAUUUCCUUAAGGAACUCGGCAAAAUCCCAAUGGCCCACCAGGGCAUAUAUCACGGGCCUCGACUGUUUACCAAAAACAUAGCCCUCGGCCAAUAUGAAAAUAGAAGUAUGGAGGGUGAGGCCUGCCCAAUGGUUGUAUCUAAAAGCGGCUGAUAAAAGUCGACCUCGUAAGGACAAUUGAAUGGCCGCGGUAACACUGACCGUGAUAAUGUAGCGUAAUCAAUAGCCAAUUAAUUGUUGGCCAGUAUGAAUGGCGCCACGAAGGCCCCACUGUCUUAAGGAAAUUCCCAGUGAAAUUGAAUUCGUAGUGAAGAUGCUACGUCCAAUUUGUUAGACGAAAAGACCCCGUUGAGCUUUACUGGGGCACUUACACGGCCCCCGGCCUUCCAGACUCGGUUGAUAAGCCAAGGCUUAGGCCGAAUUUAAAUGGGCGGCUUAGACUAUGUGGCAGCCCCCCCCGUCGGGGCAGAUGAAACCCCACUCCCCCAUGUCAAAGGGGCUAACCCCCCCCCUUGGGGGGGGGGACAAUGUAAGUAGGACAGUUUGGUUGGGGCGACCGCCUUUUAGAGAGUAACGAAGGUGCGCUUAAGGUGCGCAAUUAAUGACUGAAGCCUGACUGCGAGGGGGACACCCCGAGCAGACACCCCCAAGCCCGCCCGCCCUAGCUAAAGGAACCCUCGUCCCGAGGGUUCCUUCUGGGAGGGCGGCGGUGGGGUGGGCCAUAGUGACCCGUUAAUUUAGAGUGGAAUAGUUAACGAUCAACGAAUAAAAGUUACCACGGGGACCCCCCAG